rnacentral:rRNA from 1 species
AAGUCGAGCGGACAGAUGGGAGCUUGCUCCCUGAUGUCAGCGGCGGACGGGUGAGUAACACGUGGGUAACCUGCCUGUAAGACUGGGAUAACUCCGGGAAACCGGGGCUAAUACCGGAUGCUUGAUUGAACCGCAUGGUUCAAUUAUAAAAGGUGGCUUUUACCUACCACUUACAGAUGGACCCGCGGCGCAUUACCUAGUUGGUGAGGUAACGGCUCACCAAGGCAACAAUGCGUAGCCAACCUGAAAGGGUGAUCGGCCACACUGGGACUGAAACACGGCCCAAACUCCUACGGGAGGCAGCAGUAGGGAAUCUUCCGCAAUGGACAAAAGUCUGACGGACCAACGCCCCGUGAGUGAUGAAGGUUUUCGGAUCGUAAAACUCUGUUGUUAGGGAAAAACAAUUACCGUUCGAAUAGGGCGGUACCUUGACGGUACCUAACCAAAAAGCCACGGCUAACUACUUGCCACCACCCGCGGU